GACGAACCGUGCAAACGUUGUUCGGAAUCACUGGGCUUAAAGGGCGCGUAGGCGGUUCGCCAAGUCUGGGGUGAAAUCUUUCGGCUUAACCGGAAAAUUGCCUGGGAUACUGGCGGGCUGGAGGGAGGUAGGGGUAGCGGGAACUUCCGGUGGAGCGGUGAAAUGCGUUGAUAUCGGAAGGAACGCCGGUGGCGAAAGCGCGUUACUGGACCUCUUCUGACGCUGAGGCGCGAAAGCUAGGGGAGCAAACGGG
rnacentral:rRNA from 1 species